AAAGGGAGACCUAAUUCAGGUAAAAGACGAAAAAAAAGUAGUCGCUACCAAGAAUCAAUCCCAAAAGGUCGGAGCGAGGCAAAAUUGGCUUUCAAACUAGGUUCUGGGUUCAAACAAGACCUGAAUCAGGAACAAGGGCUAUUAGCUCAGGUGGUUAGAGCGCACCCCUGAUAAGGGUGAGGUCCCUGGUUCGAGUCCAGGAUGGCCCACCUGCACAGGUGGCAAAAACAAGAGAAGCGAGGAAUCAGCACCUUAUCUUACUUAUAUAGUAAGAGAGAAUGCUGGCUCUGAGUAAAGAGUCCAGAGGAACCUUGAAAACUGCAUAGAGCUAGGUGAAAAAGCCAAAAAAGAAGACCGCAAG
rnacentral:tRNA from 1 species